GGGUUGUGAGGUUAAGCGACUAAGCGUACACGGUGGAUGCCCUGGCAGUCAGAGGCGAUGAAGGACGUGCUAAUCUGCGAUAAGCGUCGGUGAGGUGAUAUGAACCGUUAUAACCGGCGAUUUCCGAAUGGGGAAACCCAGUGUGUUUCGACACACUAUCAUUAACUGAAUCCAUAGGUUAAUGAGGCGAACCGGGGGAACUGAAACAUCUAAGUACCCCGAGGAAAAGAAAUCAACCGAGAUUCCCCCAGUAGCGGCGAGCGAACGGGGAGGAGCCCAGAGCCUGAAUCAGUGUGUGUGUUAGUGGAAGCGUCUGGAAAGGCGCGCGAUACAGGGUGACAGCCCCGUACACAAAAAUGCACAUGCUGUGAGCUCGAUGAGUAGGGCGGGACACGUGGUAUCCUGUCUGAAUAUGGGGGACCAUCCUCCAAGGCUAAAUACUCCUGACUGACCGAUAGUGAACCAGUACCGUGAGGGAAAGGCGAAAAGAACCCCGGCGAGGGGAGUGAAAAAGAACCUGAAACCGUGUACGUACAAGCAGUGGGAGCCUCUUAAUGGGGUGACUGCGUACCUUUUGUAUAAUGGGUCAGCGACUUAUAUUCUGUAGCAAGGUUAACCGAAUAGGGGAGCCGAAGGGAAACCGAGUCUUAACUGGGCGUUAAGUUGCAGGGUAUAGACCCGAAACCCGGUGAUCUAGCCAUGGGCAGGUUGAAGGUUGGGUAACACUAACUGGAGGACCGAACCGACUAAUGUUGAAAAAUUAGCGGAUGACUUGUGGCUGGGGGUGAAAGGCCAAUCAAACCGGGAGAUAGCUGGUUCUCCCCGAAAGCUAUUUAGGUAGCGCCUCGUGAAUUCAUCUCCGGGGGUAGAGCACUGUUUCGGCAAGGGGGUCAUCCCGACUUACCAACCCGAUGCAAACUGCGAAUACCGGAGAAUGUUAUCACGGGAGACACACGGCGGGUGCUAACGUCCGUCGUGAAGAGGGAAACAACCCAGACCGCCAGCUAAGGUCCCAAAGUCAUGGUUAAGUGGGAAACGAUGUGGGAAGGCCCAGACAGCCAGGAUGUUGGCUUAGAAGCAGCCAUCAUUUAAAGAAAGCGUAAUAGCUCACUGGUCGAGUCGGCCUGCGCGGAAGAUGUAACGGGGCUAAACCAUGCACCGAAGCUGCGGCAGCGACACUAUGUGUUGUUGGGUAGGGGAGCGUUCUGUAAGCCUGUGAAGGUGUGCUGUGAGGCAUGCUGGAGGUAUCAGAAGUGCGAAUGCUGACAUAAGUAACGAUAAAGCGGGUGAAAAGCCCGCUCGCCGGAAGACCAAGGGUUCCUGUCCAACGUUAAUCGGGGCAGGGUGAGUCGACCCCUAAGGCGAGGCCGAAAGGCGUAGUCGAUGGGAAACAGGUUAAUAUUCCUGUACUUGGUGUUACUGCGAAGGGGGGACGGAGAAGGCUAUGUUGGCCGGGCGACGGUUGUCCCGGUUUAAGCGUGUAGGCUGGUUUUCCGUGCAAAUCCGGAAAACCAAGGCUGAGGCGUGAUGACGAGGCACUACGGUGCUGAAGCGACAAAUGCCCUGCUUCCGGAAAAGCCUCUAAGCAUCAGGUAACAUCAAAUCGUACCCCAAACCGACACAGGUGGUCAGGUAGAGAAUACCAAGGCGCUUGAGAGAACUCGGGUGAAGGAACUAGGCAAAAUGGUGCCGUAACUUCGGGAGAAGGCACGCUGAUAUGUAGGUGAAGCGACUUGCUCGUGGAGCUGAAAUCAGUCGAAGAUACCAGCUGGCUGCAACUGUUUAUUAAAAACACAGCACUGUGCAAACACGAAAGUGGACGUAUACGGUGUGACGCCUGCCCGGUGCCGGAAGGUUAAUUGAUGGGGUUAGCGGUAACGCGAAGCUCUUGAUCGAAGCCCCGGUAAACGGCGGCCGUAACUAUAACGGUCCUAAGGUAGCGAAAUUCCUUGUCGGGUAAGUUCCGACCUGCACGAAUGGCGUAAUGAUGGCCAGGCUGUCUCCACCCGAGACUCAGUGAAAUUGAACUCGCUGUGAAGAUGCAGUGUACCCGCGGCAAGACGGAAAGACCCCGUGAACCUUUACUAUAGCUUGACACUGAACAUUGAGCCUUGAUGUGUAGGAUAGGUGGGAGGCUUUGAAGUGUGGACGCCAGUCUGCAUGGAGCCGACCUUGAAAUACCACCCUUUAAUGUUUGAUGUUCUAACGUUGGCCCGUAAUCCGGGUUGCGGACAGUGUCUGGUGGGUAGUUUGACUGGGGCGGUCUCCUCCUAAAGAGUAACGGAGGAGCACGAAGGUUGGCUAAUCCUGGUCGGACAUCAGGAGGUUAGUGCAAUGGCAUAAGCCAGCUUGACUGCGAGCGUGACGGCGCGAGCAGGUGCGAAAGCAGGUCAUAGUGAUCCGGUGGUUCUGAAUGGAAGGGCCAUCGCUCAACGGAUAAAAGGUACUCCGGGGAUAACAGGCUGAUACCGCCCAAGAGUUCAUAUCGACGGCGGUGUUUGGCACCUCGAUGUCGGCUCAUCACAUCCUGGGGCUGAAGUAGGUCCCAAGGGUAUGGCUGUUCGCCAUUUAAAGUGGUACGCGAGCUGGGUUUAGAACGUCGUGAGACAGUUCGGUCCCUAUCUGCCGUGGGCGCUGGAGAACUGAGGGGGGCUGCUCCUAGUACGAGAGGACCGGAGUGGACGCAUCACUGGUGUUCGGGUUGUCAUGCCAAUGGCACUGCCCGGUAGCUAAAUGCGGAAGAGAUAAGUGCUGAAAGCAUCUAAGCACGAAACUUGCCCCGAGAUGAGUUCUCCCUGAGACUUAGAGUCUCCUGAAGGAACGUUGAAGACGACGACGUUGAUAGGCCGGGUGUGUAAGCGCAGCGAUGCGUUGAGCUAACCGGUACUAAUGAACCGUGAGGCUUAACCUUACAACGCCGAAG
rnacentral:rRNA from 1 species